ensembl:lncRNA
GGUGACGCUGCGAUCGAGGGACGAGGAAGUAUACAAUUAGCGAUUGGCAUUCAUAACUCACCACCCCUGGCCUGACGGACCCCGACUGAUUUCCGGGUCACGUGACUGACGCACACUCCGCGAAGGGGAAGUCGACCGUGGUCUGAACCGACCGUAACUGGAGCAGUAGGCGCGCACUAAAGAUACACGCAGGCCUCGGUUGGGGACCGGUGGCUCACAUGACCGCAGCGGUGCUGCCUCCCUGCGCUCGACCCGCCGUGCAGGUGCCGAGUCCGACGCGGCACAGCGGGGAACAACCGCACACCGGAGGCGUCGGAUAUUUCCACGUGAUCCGUUGUGACAGAGCGGUUUGAAACUACGUUUUCACACCAAGUAUAGCGGAAGAGUCCAAAUCAAGAGAAGCAGGCCUCUGUGAUUCAUGUGCCUGUCAAGAUGAGUACAGACAGACCCAAACGAAAUAUCAUCAAAAAGAAAUAUGACAUCAGUGACGGGAUGCCUUGGUGUGAAGAACGUCUGGUCCGCAAAGUUCUUUUCCUCUCUCUCAGGGAAUUCAGGGACACGCACCGCGCCAUGCACACACACUCGCACAGACACACGCGCGUGUCGGAAAACACGCGCCUACAGCGAAAGACGCAGGCGCUGCCGAAAACCGCGCGCGCAGGACCGAGUGCGCACGCGCCCCAGCAGAGGGCCGCGCGCAGGCCACCGAACACCACAGCUAGCACGCACACCGCAAAACACCCACAAGGCAAAGUGCAAAGAAACAACUCGUCUCAGGACUCGCACACGACGAAAAGUAAAUGCACUCACCCACUACAGAACAGGCGAACGCAAUCAAAAACGUGCGGCGGGAAAAUGAAGCGCGCCGUCCAGCACGCACACCUACGAGAAAGUACACGCGCCUUCCGGAAGAAUUCGGCAACGACAAGGACGCUGCGCUCGCACAAAAAACAGAAGGCACGGACGCUGCCGAGCUCCAGAUACGCAGAAACCGCCAAACGGGCGCACGCUCCUCAGCAGAAGCACUCCGUGAAAAGCACCUGCGCACCCGGGAACCCGCGGGCGCUGCUGAGCCCCCCCGGCGCCGCCCGGGCGCUGCGGUCACAUGUUCCCACGCGCCUCAAAGGCUCCCGGGUGAACGGCAUCAGCCGCUGUCGCUCCGUCCUGUCGGCGAGCUGGAGCUGGUCUUUACCGGCACGCCCUCAAGAGCGGCGCCAUGCUGGCAUCCAUCGCCUGAAGGCCGCUCCGGUGUGCGUGGAGAAAAGGCCGCGGGUGCAAGCGCAGAGGAAGUUUGCCCAGUCCCCUCCCAGCUCUCCGGGACCAACAGUUUCGAGGACACCGGCACGAAGCAACCACGUCCACAACCUGUCCGUGGUCACCUGUCUUACCCGACGCCGGCCCAAGACCGAGGACUUCUUGUCCUUCCUCUGUCUGAGAGGUUCAGCGGCGUUGCCUAGCAACAUGUCCUUCUUAGCCAUCGGACGAGCGAAGGAGCCAUCUGGCGCUCAGCAUCUCGCCUCCUGUCGCUCCACCAAUCACAGGACCGCCGCUGAGGGGAAGACCAUGAGCAUGAUCAGUAGAACCACAGCACAGCGAGACUUUAAGUCUCUGCGAAGGAGGCCUGGCGGCUCUGCAGUGGUCACCUCCUUCUGUCCUCCCACUGCCCGCGCACAGAGGAGGCAAGAGAGGGAGAGGAGAGAGGAGAAGGAGCAGCAGCAGCAGCAGCAGAAGAGGAGGCGGGAGGGGACGGAGGAGGACAGAAGAGACGGAGCUGAAAGCCACCUGCUGAGACCUCACCAGCUCUCCCUCCAUGUCAGGAGGACUGACAAGGUUGCCAUGGUGACUGGACUCUGUGAACAAACCACCUUCUGCGUCCGGUCCCUUCCUACAUUACAGCCGAGCCCUGCAAUGGGGAGCAGGCGCCGCCCCAGACCGUGCAAUCGGCAGGGCGACACCUGUAAACCACAGAUCCAGGACCCCAACAAUAAACACCUCGCCCGGCACAGCAGACACCAGCUGCCCCGCAAUCAGCACCUUCCGCUCCACCAACGUGCCGUCUCCGACUACUAUAGCAACCCCAUGACCUUCGGCAGUCUGCAGAACUCAGGAAGACACUCAGCGAGGACUCCGCCUCUGUGUAACGGCCCGGUUAACAGGACGGUAAGUGAGAAGCCCGGCGUCCUGCGCUCGUCCAGGAGAAGGAGAGGUCUCCCGCCCGACACCACCCUACUGAACGGGGUUCUUUUGGACGGCAGCUCGUCAAAGAAGUGCAGGACAGUGCCACUUGGUGACGGCGAUGUCCCGCCGGAGAGUGAGAUCCCACGGAGGGAAGACCGCUGCGGCAAAGAUGUGAGUCACGUUGGUGGAAUCCCCCGCAGCCACGAGCACGAACUGGAAGGAGACGCCUGUGGCCGUGUUGGAGAGACGAGAGCAGAGGGGGACAGUUGCGUUGGCGACGACCAGCGGGGCAGAGCAAAGAUCGAAGAGUUAACUUUGACCAGCGUCUCUGCUCUGGAGCCCUCUGAAGAAAGGGUCUACCCAGCCGACACCGCCGCACACUGUGACCUCGGCCACGUCGAGCUGCUGCUGCUAGGACUCCCAUGA